rnacentral:rRNA from 1 species
UGGGGGAUAUUGCGCAAUGGAGGAAACUCUGACGCAGCAACGCCGCGUGAAGGAAGAAGGUCUUCGGAUUGUAAACUUUUGUCUUCGGGGACGAUAAUGACGGUACCCGAGGAGGAAGCCACGGCUAACUACGUGCCAGCAGCCGCGGUAAUACGUAGGGGGCAAGCGUUGUCCGGAUUUACUGGGUGUAAAGGGUGCUCAGGCGGAUUUGUAAGUCAGAGGUGAAAUCCUGUCGCUUAACGAUAGAACUGCCAUUGAUACUGUAAGUCUUGAUUAUAUUUGAGGUAGCUGGAAUAAGUAGUGUAGCGGUGAAAUGCAUAGAUAUUACUUAGAACACCAAUUGCGAAGGCAGGUUACCAAGAUAUAACUGACGCUGAGGGACGAAAGCGUGGGGAGCGAACA